rnacentral:rRNA from 1 species
AUUGAACGCUGGCGGCAGGCUUAACACAUGCAAGUCGAGCGAGCGGCGGACGGGUGAGUAAUGUCUGGGAAACUGCCUGAUGGAGGGGGACAACUACUGGAAACGGUAGCCAAUACCGCAUACCAUCAGAUGUGCCCAGAUGGGAUUAGCUAGGGGGUGGGGUAAUGGCUCACCUAGGCCACGAUCCAUAGCUGGGCUGAGAGGAGGACCAGCCACACUGGAACUGAGACACGGCCCAGACUCCUACGGGAGGCAGCAGUGGGGAAUAUUGGACAAUGGGCGAAAGCCUGAUUCAGCCAUGCCGCGUGUGUGAAGAAGGCCUUCGGGUUGUAAAGCACUUUCGGCGGGGAGGCGUUACUCGCAGAAGAAGCACCGGCUAACUCCGUGCCAGCAGCCGCGGUAAUUC